rnacentral:lncRNA from 1 species
UAUGAGUCUGAUCUUCAGGCCUUGGAGGGCUCUUCUACCCUAAAGUCAUGGGUCCUAAAUCCACCAUGGCUGCCAAGAGUUCCAUCAGGGGUAAGGACUCAAAGCACACAAAGUAAAUACUUUUCCUGUUUUCCUCAAAUUUUUAGGUUUGCAAUAAUAAAAAUAACUGCCACUGUGAUCCUGGCUGGCUACCUCCAAAUUGCAAAGAAAGAGGCCCAGGACAUGGGGGCAGUAUCGACAGUGGCCAUUUGGGGAAAUCUGAUAUAUUUUUUCACUGGGAGAGCCUAUGAAGAUAAUACGAGGAAGAACUGGCUUCUCCUUGGUUUCUACAUUUCUCUACCCUUCCUCAUCAUUACUACCAUUAUAAUUGUAAAACGAAAUGAAAUGAAAAGAUUGUGCCGCACAGAGGAAUUACAAAGUGACGAGUAAAUUCUGAAUACUUAUCUAUUAUACUUAUUUAGCUAAUGAAAAAUUUUUCCAAGUCUUUAUUAGACUAUACCAAGCCAAUAGCUAAGUUUGACAUGUUUAGUUUGGGUGACGGCAGACUUACAAGUAAAGAUGUCUUGAAGCAGGAGGAAAUGUGGGAUUGCAGAGAGGGAGAAAGAGGUCAGGGCUGGAGAUGUAGAUUUGGGUUGUCAUCCGCAUAGAAGUGGUAGUUAAAGCCAAAGUGGGAACGAAUUAGUUCUCCAAGGGAGUGGUAGAUCCAAGUCUCAAAACCAUAUCUUAGAAAGUUGUACAUUUUGUACAUUUUCAGCUUUGUCUUUAACCUGAUGGAGUGUGGCUACCACACUCAGUCUGAUGACAUUCUAAGGAAUAUGCUGUCUUUAUUCAGCUUUCUUCUUCCUUGUCCAUCAUGGUAUUGUUGGAUGUUGUGCUGCUUGUGCAUUAGCAAUUCUGUGACAGCAUUUAUUUCUGUAUUACCAAAGAAGAUCUUUGAUUGUGUGCAGAAUUUUUCUGAUGUAGUUUGAUAAGUUAUCUUAGUUACGCUCACACUUAUUGUCAGUCAGUGGUUCACCAUCAUCUGUAUGUCAUCUUGCUGAAGUUCACUGUGGGCAGGAAAUGUGUCUGUUAUAUUGUUGUGUUGCACUCUCCCAAGGGCUUAGUACAGUGUCUUGCACAUAGUACGCACUAAAUGAAUACAACUGCUUGCUUGAUUGGAGUCCUUGGGGGACAAAGACCUUGUCUAAUUCUCAUCUGUUUUUUUGUAUGUUUUUACCCUAAAAGGAGAUGCUUAAUAAAUAUAGUUAUUACUCCUUAAACUGUGAACACAACACAACUCUGUUUUACUCUAUUAGUUAUGGGACAUGGUUCAGACAGGGUACCCUCAACUUGUUGAAGAACAAUUUCAAGAUCUUGAUGAAAUCUGAUUAACUUAAUUAAUUUAGAAUUUGUCAGCUCCCAGGUCUACCAAUGGUCUUAAUUGCUUUUUUCAAAGUCUACAAAAACAACAUAGAAAUCUUGAAUUUUAUCCCUGAAGUUUUGAUUGAAUCUGACAUGCUGUGCCAUGCAAUGUAUGCUGUGGUCUGAAACCAAACUGAAAAUACUUGCCUUUGGUAGCCAGCUGGGAAGACUUCUGGCUAGGAUCUGGCCAGAAUGGAAAGCAGUGAAAUUCUAGAGUAGUAGUCGCUGACAGACUUUCUUUUUGAAGAUGAUAGUGAUGAUCAAUCAAUCAUUUAUUAUGUGCACACCUCUAUACUAAGUGCUUUGGAGAAUAGUAUUACAGAGUUGGUUGGCAGAAUAUAAUGGUGACAUUUUUAAGGUCCUGUGACAUUUCUUUGUACCAUAUGUUGAGAAAAAACUUUUGUAAAUGUUUAAGCAGUGUAGAUCUUAGCAGUUAUGCAAUUAGAUCUAGGUGCUUUACUAUUUUUCCUGGCAAUGCAGCAGAACAAGGUUGACUUGUCCUCACAAGUAUGGUUUAAAGGCGUCACUGAUACUAGAAGCCG